CUCUUCCCAUUCCGAACAGAGAAGUUAAGCCCGCCAGAGCCGAUGGUACUGCAGUAAAAUGUGGGAGAGUAGGUCGGUGCCAUCC
rnacentral:rRNA from 1 species